rnacentral:rRNA from 1 species
UACAGAGGGGGCAAGCGUUAUUCGGAAUUAUUGGGCGUAAAGGGUGCGUAGGCGGCCUGACAAGUCUGAUGUGAAAUCCCUGGGCUCAACCCAGGGCCUGCAUCGGAAACUGUCGGGCUUGAGUAUGGGAGAGGUGAGUGGAAUUUCCGGUGUAGCGGUGAAAUGCGUAGAUAUCGGAAGGAACACCUGUGGCGAAAGCGGCUCACUGGACCAUUACUGACGCUGAGGCACGAAAGCUAGGGGAGCAAACAGG